GAUGAACGCUGGCGGCGUGCCUAAUACAUGCAAGUCGAGCGAACAGAUAAGGAGCUUGCUCCUUUGACGUUAGCGGCGGACGGGUGAGUAACACGUGGAUAACCUACCUAUAAGACUGGGAUAACUUCGGGAAACCGGAGCUAAUACCGGAUAACAUAUUGAACCGCAUGGUUCAAUAGUGAAAGGCGGCUUUGCUGUCACUUAUAGAUGGAUCCGCGCCGUAUUAGCUAGUUGGUAAGGUAACGGCUUACCAAGGCAACGAUACGUAGCCGACCUGAGAGGGUGAUCGGCCACACUGGAACUGAGACACGGUCCAGACUCCUACGGGAGGCAGCAGUAGGGAAUCUUCCGCAAAGGGCGAAAGCCUGACGGAGCAACGCCGCGUGAGUGAUGAAGGUCUUCGGAUCGUAAAACUCUGCUAUUAGGGAAGAACAAAUGUGUAAGUAACUGUGCACAUCUUGACGGUACCUGAUCAGAAAGCCACGGCUAACUACGUG
rnacentral:rRNA from 1 species